UACAGAGGUCCCAAGCGUUGUUCGGAUUCACUGGGCGUAAAGGGUGCGUAGGUGGUGAGGUAAGUCGGAUGUGAAAUCUCCGGGCUCAACCCGGAAAUGGCAUUGGAAACUACCUUGCUGGAGGAUUUGAGGGGGGGAUUGGAAUACUUGGUGUAGCAGUGAAAUGCGUAGAUAUCAAGUGGAACACCAGUGGCGAAGGCGAAUCCCUGGAAAAUACCUGACACUGAGGCACGAAAGCUAGGGGAGCAAACAGG
rnacentral:rRNA from 1 species